UGUUUCACUAUAAUCUUACCUUAUAGUCCUGUCAAAUGAGCUCCAAAAAUAGGGGACAUAGGGGUAGGGCUACAUUAAUUCGCACCCAGCUUAAAAUUGGCAUGAAGAUGGGGGAAACUAUUACACACAAUUUGUCAAUUAUCCACAUCAGUUCAACUUGUGGAAAAAACCUAUCCAAGGUCUAAUGUUGCAAAAAUCGUUUUUUGAGUUUACCAGCUAAACGAACGAUAAUCGGCCUUGAGCAACAUCUGUCUGCUAUUCAAGAAGGGUCCGCGUGGCGACGCUCGUAUACCUGCAAAUUUUUCAAAUUCCGAACUAGAUGGAAUAACAUUAGUCUCAAGCAUUCCUUCGUAGUAAGAGCACGUAGUUAUUGCUUAUAUUUUCAAAGAAAAUGUGCAGUUUUGUGGUUGUAAUAGAAAUGUCGCAAUUUUGCUUUAUUUGUAACAAACAUUUGGCCGAAAGCGACACAGUUACUGUUGGUCUAGGCCUAAAGACAUUAAUUGACGCAAGUAUUGAAAGAGGAGAUGAAUUUUCAGAAUACCUAAAAGACCAGACUUCUGUGACAGUUCAUGUAGAGUGUCGAAAACACUACACUCGGUAGGGUACAAUCGCCGCAUUUAAAAGAAAACAGGAAGAAGAACAAGCUAAGCCAAGUACAUCAAAAAUAAGUCCACCUCGUACUAGAGCACGCGUGAGUGAAUCAUUUUUUUGUUUUAAAAAGUGUUGCUUAUUUUGUGGCAAUGAAUUGAAUGAAGAGUUAGAAAACAGAAAAGCACUGAAGUAUCGGCGUAAAAUUUGCCAUGUAUCAACACUUUCAUUCAAAGAAACAAUCUUGAAUAUAGCCCAGACUCGUUCUGAUUAUGUAGCAAAAGCUGUUAUUACUCGAAUUGAGGUUGAACAUGAUUUAGUUGCUGCCAAAACUAAAUAUCAUAAAGACUGUCAUAAUGCCUUCUUGAGACCGACUACAGGAGGUCAAGUCGGUCGUCCUCAAUCUGAAACUACGAAUCUUGCAAUGGAAGAAAUAUUUGCACACAUGGAAAAUAGUGGUAAUUGUCAAUUUACAUUACACGAAUUACAAAAUAUUUCCAAAAAAUCGUUAGACAAUAGAACCAUUACAAGACGAUUAAAGUUGAAGUAUGGCGAUAAAAUUAUUAUAACGGAAAAAUCAGGAGCAUCAACAUUUAUAUGUUUUGUUGAUAAUCUCUAUGAUAUUUUAAAUCGAUGUAGCUACGAAAA